rnacentral:lncRNA from 1 species
ACUCAGAGCUAAAGGUUGCAGCCAGAGGCCAUGGCCACUCACUCCAUGGCCAGUCACAAGCUAACCGAGGAAUCGUGAUCAACAUGGAAUCGCUCCGUAGACCAGAAAUACAGGUUCACACUGGAAAUUUUCCUCGUGUGGAUGUUUCUGGUGGCGAGUUAUGGAUUAAUAUCCUGCAUGAAACCCUCAAAUAUGGGUUAGCACCAAAAUCUUGGACAGAUUACCUACAUCUGACGGUUGGUGGUACUUUGUCCAAUGCAGGGAUCAGCGGGCAGGCAUUUCGACAUGGCCCCCAGAUCAGUAAUGUGCACCAGCUGGAAGUUGUUACAGGUAUGUAAAAGAAAAANNNNNNNNNNNNNNNNNNNNNNNNNNNNNNNNNNNNNNNNNNNNNNNNNNNNNNNNNNNNNNNNNNNNNNNNNNNNNNNNNNNNNNNNNNNNNNNNNNNNNNNNNNNNNNNNNNNNNNNNNNNNNNNNNNNNNNNNNNNNNNNNNNNNNNNNNNNNNNNNNNNNNNNNNNNNNNNNNNNNNNNNNNNNNNNNAUAGGAAACAGAACAAGCAAGUUGCAGGUCCUCACAAUAUAUGUCCAAAAUCGAUACAAAAAGAGCUUUUAGUUAAUAAUUAAUUUCCUGUGAUAUCCUACAGUAUUGUGCUUAGAAUUAAUUACUACAACAAAAUACUUGAACUGAUUACAGGAAAAGGAGAAGUGGUGAAUUGCUCAGAGAAACAGAAUGCAGACCUCUUUCAUGGUGUUCUCGGAGGACUUGGUCAGUUUGGCAUAAUAACUCGAGCAAAAAUUUCUCUACAACCUGCACCUGAUAUGGUAAAACGAAACAUCAUAUCUGAAAAAUUCAAAAAAUAGUGUUUAUUUAAGUCCCCUGUUUCACAAACUCAAACUCAACAGGUGAAAUGGAUCAGAGUGCUCUACUCGGACUUCUCCAAAUUUUCCAGAGACCAGGAGUAUUUAAUAUCUGCAGAGAACACAUUUGAUUACAUUGAAGGAAUGGUAAUAAAGAACAGAGCAAAUCUCGUGAAUAGCUGGAGAUCGUCAUUAAACCCACAAGACCCAGAGCGAGCCAGUCAAUUCAAAUCAGAUGACAAGUUGCUAUUUUGUCUUGAAUUGGCAAAAAACUUCAAUCCAGACAAGGUGGAUGUAAUUUACCAGGUGAGACAUGUCACGUCCCAAUAAGCUUGUAUGUCAAUUACAUAUAUAGUACGAUAAAUGGCUCUCAUACCCAUUUUGUUUGUUUUGGUGUAGGAAAUCGAAAGCUUAUUAUCUCAACUAAGCUAUAUUUCGUCCACACUUUUUAUGUCAGAAGUUUCAUAUGUAGAAUUCUUGGACAGAGUUCAUACAUCCGAGCUCAAACUACGACCAAAAGGCUUGUGGGAAAUUCCACACCCCUGGCUCAAUCUUCUCGUUCCAAGAAGCAAAAUCAAAAACUUUGCUCAAGAAGCUUUUGGCAAUAUUCUGACAGAUACAAAUAAUGGUCCUAUCCUUGUCUACCCAGUCAACAAGUCAAAGUAAUAGUUCCUUGAAAUAAGUCAGUUAGUCAUAAAUCUUCAAGAUUAUUAUUGUUCAAUUAAUAAUUUGAUUAUUUUCUCUCAGGUGGGACAACAGAACUUCCUUAGUUCUUCCAGAGGAAGAUAUAUUCUACCUAGUGGCAUUCCUUUCCCAUGCAAUUCCCUCAUCCACAGGAACAGAUGGCUUAGAACAUAUAUUGACCCGGAACAAAAAGAUUCUAGAUUUCUGUGAGGCAGCCCAACUUGGGGUUAAGCAAUAUCUACCACAUUACAAUACGCAGGAAGAGUGGCGGGCCCACUUUGGUCCAUGCUGGGAAGCCUUUGCAAAGAGGAAAUCAUCUUAUGACCCUUUGGCAAUUCUUGCUCCUGGCCAGAGAAUUUUUCAAAAUGAAAUAUCCGACUUAUGACACAACGAAUAUUUUAAUAAAAGGGACGCAAGCAGGAUACGAGUACAAGUAGUAGCAAUUAGUGUAAAUUGGACACUAUUAAUCUUAUAUAUCUCACUCCUGGUAUUUUACGUAUAGCGGGGAGGCUGUGGGGUAGGUUGAAAUUUUGUUGACAGUUAAGUCGAUUAAUAGUAUCAGCCCAUAUUGCAUGUAUAUAACAUCGUUAGACAAGAGCUAAUGAAGUUGACAGCAAUUUAAAAUCUUGUUUCAACAACAAAAAUGCUAUUAAUUCCAUUAUCCAAAACCAAAAUAACAGAAAUGAUACUCCUGAAAGGCUGAAAAAGGAAAAUUGAGUAAUCUCAGUCACAGAGGAGAAAACGAUAUAGCUGAUCAAAAAAGAAAUGAAAAUAUAGAAAGCGAAAGGACAAACGAACUGUGACAAAGAGAAAUCUAUACCUUGUUGGAAUGACUGACCAAAUGCUAGUGGCACCAAGCCAUUUGACAAAAAGAAGUUUGCUAUCAUCAUCCUGCUAGUAUUACAUUAUGUCACCAAAACCAACAGCCAUGGAGCUGCUACCCACAACACCAUCUACCGGCUCUCAUGCUACCACCCCACCACGUAUCACUAUAUGUUCUAAAAUGUCUAGAUACAGUAAAACCAAACACAAUAACUAUUAUUUUCAUCCCCUCAUCAAACUUUCACCAUGGAAAGCUUAUGAAAACAAAACAUCAUCACAACUAAAUCUUAAGAGAAUCAGAAUACUGAAAUCAACAACAAAUUUUAUGAAAUUUGUGACAUGAUAUCGCCUUUGUUGCUGAUAAGGCAAUAUAGGCAAUGAAAUAGGAAGAUAAGAUCCCUCAGUAAAAAUACAUCUAGAUUUUUCUUCUUUACUUUUUCAAGAAAAUCGUUCUCUCUGGAGCAAAACAGAGUUAAUCUCAAUUCAAUGUCACUCAUUCAUACUCUCUUCAUAAAGUGCAUGUAUGUAUAUUAAGAGAGGGAGAGACGGAGAGACGGAGAGAGACACAUAUAUUUUGUUUGCUUAAAUUUUUUCGGUUUUUAUGUUUUGUAUUUGGAAAAAUGUAGUGAUGCGUGUAUGUAUCUGUAUAUUAUAGAUAAAUGUCACUAUGAAUCUAGGUUCAGUUAUAUAAUUUGUCAAUUUGGUAAACACGCUACAGACCUAUAGACAAGCUGACAUAAAUUUCUACCCAGGUCAAUUCAGGAUCAUAUAAUAAUGGGUUACAGUGGACUGAAAAGAAUGAAGUAGUAGUGGCUUAGAGUUUGGUCGGUUCAACGGGGUCGCUGAGAUGAAGCUCAUGUGGUGGCUUUAUGAAGGUUGUACUAGUUCCAUGGAAGUACCACGGUAGUAAGAUAGAUCUUCUGGUUGCCUUCACAAGAGAGAAGAAGUAGAUUGGGCAGUUGUGGUGGACACAAUAAAUAAAUAAUUUCCAGCAGGGGUCAAUAACUAAUUUAUUAUCAAGAACAUAAAUUAUCUUCAAAAUAUGGAGUAUAUAGAUAUGAAUUAUUUCCUAACUUUUUCAAUAUUUAUUUUUCUAACUUAAGAACGGUUAAAUUUGAACAUGAUAUGUAAUGUUUUUUCAAGUACAGACGAAUAAAAAAAUUAAAGAACAGAUAAAGGCACAAAAGAAAAAUGUAGAUCAACCACCAGCAUUUGGCGCAGCGGUUAAGGAUUGAUUGGGGGUGAGCCGUAAACCCGGACGUCCUCAGUUCGAACCCCGCUAGCAACAAGUGUUAAGCCAGAAAUGGUCAUGGUGGCCACGGUACCGGUGCAAGUCGGGUAGCAAACCGCUCUGGUAUCGGGCUCGGGGGACUAGUCGGCCUGCGGAUCGAAAACCCAUGGUUAACAAAAAAAAAAAAAGAAAAAAAGAAAAAAAAAGAAAAAUGUAGAUCAUAUUAUUAUCAUGUCUUCCAUAAUUUUUGGCCUAUACGUGGCACUAAUAAUACAAAGUAGAAAUUUGUGCCUCUUCUUCUAUCUGCCCCUGGAGGUUUAUGGUGGUCAGGUCUUCACACUUUGAAGACUACCAAGGGAACAAGUUUUAAAUGUUGUAUUUUGAAGUACUGAAAAUCUCCAUUUACAGAUGCAUGAGACCAAGGUGUAUUUCCCAUUUUUCAUAUAUUGACUUGAUUAAUAACAUAGGUGGAAAUGUAGCAAAAGAUAAGAGGAAGUGAUACAUCUAAAUAAUCAAAUUUCUAAAUCAUAACCAAAAAGUGAUGCAGAAAAAGGUUCUGUUCGGAAUUCUAAAUCUUCAUGUCAAUAUAAUCUAUCAACUAAUUGUGCUGGUACAGUGGUACUGCUAUGAUAUUCCCUUCUUUGUAAAUUUGUAAUAGUGAUAAAUCUUUUGCUUAUACCUCCUAUUCAUCUGAACCUAAAAAAAACUGUCAAAAAGAAGGAAAAGGAAAACUAAAAAGGCAGAAAGUUUAGCUGUCCAACAGAUUUUAGCAUCUGACUGUUAGAAGUGUAGUAUGUUGCAACUAUUCACACUACGUGUUUCUGUCCAAAUAUAGCACUUCAAUAAAUAUUCAUAUGAUUUCCCAUAUCUAGGAUUCCUGAAUGCAUAAUCAGAAUAUGUCCCGGUCUUUCAAACCAUUGAAACUUGAAGUGAAUCUUCACAAAGAGGAAGUCACAAUCUCAUAAUGUAACAGUUUGUCAUUCAAAAUAUACACGUCAAUCUUGUCAUUAUGACUACAACAUUUGCAUCUGGCAGUAUAUACUCAACUGCUGAUAUCUGAUCAGAAUGCAGCUUAUGAUUUCUAUUGAUCAUUAAAAAAAACAAGUGCACAUCAAUCUAAAACAAGCUCAAAGCAAUUACAUAGUAUUUUUUUUAAUUAUAAUUAGAUGUUUGAAGUAAGAAAUAAUUAGAUGUUUGAAGUAAGAAAUACCAACAUCUUUGUCAAUUUUGAUAGCCAGACGGUUCUGCUGCUAGAAGCCUAGAAUACAUUGUUCACUCAAUGUUGCUUUUUCAGUGACAGUAGUAUUUAACUGCAGCGAAAGAAAGGUGCUUCUUUCUUCUUUUUUUUGUCAAAAGCCCAUUAAAGUCUUUAUGAGUGCAGAUUAUUCAGUGUGGUAAUGAUUUCUCAGAAACAACUAUAUGUCAUCAGAAUCUAAGAUGAGGAAAGUAAUUGUAACUCUUUCAACUUUCGUCAGAAUCCAUUAUCAGGGUCUUAGAGCAAAAAUUGACCAGAUGGGAAUAUUGCAACAUACUAGUCAACCUAAUAUAACCAUCAGUAAAGUGGAAACCACAUAAAGUCUGUCUCGCACUUGCACCUGUUCUAGAUUACAAUUACGACCAAUUGUUCAUCACACCUUUUAAAUGUAUAUUGUUUAUUACCGCUUUUAAAGAUUACAGCAUUCAGUUCUUGAAUCUAAAACAGUCAAACCAAGACACUUCAAAUCUACAUACAAACUUCAAUUUGUAGCUAAAGAAUAAACAUACCAACUUUACAGCUGAGAUCCAUAUCCUCUAAUCAGAUCAAUUUGCUUGGCAUCUUCUUCCAUUAGAAGGAAGUAAAAUCUGGUAAACAAAGAGUGAAAUGGCAAACAGCUUAUCAACAAGUAUAUGCUAAGUAAACCGNNNNN